UAUGAAGGGGCUGGUUUUGCUGGUCCUGGAUGAGUGGCGAACGGGUGAGUAACACGUGAGUAACCUGCCCCCUUCUUCUGGAUAACCGCAUGAAAGUGUGGCUAAUACGGGAUAUUCUGGGUCUGUCGCAUGGUGGGUCUGGGAAAGGUUUUUUCCGGGGGGGGAUGGGCUCGCGGCCUAUCAGCUUGUUGGGGGGGGGAUGGCCUACCAAGGCGGGGGACGGGUAGCCGGCCUGAGAGGGUGGACGGUCACCACUGGGACUGAAACCACGGCCCAAACUUCCUACGGGGAGGCAGCAGUGGGGAAUUAUUGGCCCAAUGGGGCGGCAAGCCUGGAUGCAACCGACCCCCCCGUGAGAGGAAUGACCGGCCUUCCGGGUUGUAAAACCUUCUGUGUAACAAGGAAAAAAAAAAAUUUGCAGGUUCCUUGCAAAAAAAGGGCGCCGCUAAUACAGGGGCAGCAGGCGGGGUUUUACAAAAAGCCCAACACUUUUCUCGAAUUAUUUGGGGUGAAAAGCUUUAAACCCUUUUGCCGUUCCGUUGAAAAACCCAACCUAAACUCCGUUUUUGCAGUGGUACGGCAGACUAAAUGCAGUAGGGAGACUGGAAUUCUGGUGUUACGGUGGAAUGCGCAAAAUUAGGAGGACACGAUGGGAAGCAGGCUCUGGGCUGUACUGACGCUGAAAACGAAACAUGGGGAGCAACAGGAUAAAACC
rnacentral:rRNA from 1 species